rnacentral:rRNA from 1 species
UACGUAGGUGGCAAGCGUUGUCCGGAUUUACUGGGCGUAAAGGGCGUGCAGGCGGUUUGUUAAGUCUAGGGUGAAAGCUCCCGGCUCAACUGGGAGAGGUCCUUGGAUACUGGCAGACUUGAGGAGGGUAGAGGAGAGUGGAAUUCCCGGUGUAGUGGUGAUAUGCGUAGAUAUCGGGAGGAACACCAGUGGCGAAGGCGGCUCACUGGCCCGGUACUGACGCUGAGGUGCGAAAGCGUGGGGAGCAAACAGG